rnacentral:rRNA from 1 species
AGCGAACGCUGGCGGCAGGCCUAACACAUGCAAGUCGAACGAACCUUUCGGGGUUAGUGGCGGACGGGUGAGUAACACGUGGGAACGUGCCUUUAGGUUCGGAAUAACUCAGGGAAACUUGUGCUAAUACCGAAUGUGCCCUUCGGGGGAAAGAUUUAUCGCCUUUAGAGCGGCCCGCGUCUGAUUAGCUAGUUGGUUGAGGUAAUGGCUCACCAAGGCGACGAUCAGUAGCUGGUCUGAGAGGAUGAUCAGCCACAUUGGGACUGAGACACGGCCCAAACUCCUGCGGGAAGCAGCAGUGGGGAAUCUUGCGCAAUGGGCGAAAGCCUGACGCAGCCAUGCCGCGUGAAUGAUGAAGGUCUUAGGAUUGUCAAAUUCUUUCACCGGGGACGAUAAUGACGGUACCCGGAGAAGAAGCCCCGGCUAACUUCGUG